CGCUCAGUCGCUCUUCCCGCGUUGAUUCGCUCUUUCAGCAAACGUGGCCGGUCGGUCGGCUACGCGCCCGCCGCCUGCUGAAGCCGCCGCAGACCGGCCGUCGGGACACUUACCGGCCGCGGGGAGGGAAGAGCGGUCCUGCGGGGCAGGAACUCAGGCGCCCGAGACGCCCCGUCUUCCACGGGCGCAGCGAACUUUGGGCUGCAACCCGUACCGGGCCCUGCCUUAGUCUCUGGAAUUUCAAUCAAUAAAAGGCCCGACCUCCUGCAGUCAUGCACAUUUGGCUUCAUACUGUGACCCCAGAGCCCAAGGCCUCAUGACUCUGAUGCUGCUUCCUCACCCUCUGAAGAAUCCCUUUGAAAUUACCGUCCCAGCACAAAGUGGAACAGAAACUGAGAGAAAAAUUCUGAGGUGCUAAAUAAAACACAGUGAGCAGGAGAGUGAAAGUAACCAGCCAAGACCUGUGACCAACUCACAACGGACGGCUCACAUUCCUGACGGCGCUGGAGCUGCGCACCAACUCCUGCAGCAUCCUCCUAACGCACAACUUUCAGGGCGGUUCCCCACAGCCCAUCUCAGCGCUCAGCAUCUCUUCCUGACAGGCUGUGCACACCCAGGACGGCCGCUUCACCUUCCCCACCCCACCCUUCUGUCUGGAGCCGGUGUAAACUCAAAGCAACGUGCAUCUGUCUCUCCCAAAGCAUAGUGCCCAUCACCUCCAGGACUGGGCACAUGUCUGCCUCCUCCACCUGGCCUGCUGCUGGUGGUUGAGACCUCCUGCCCCAGGACCUGGUCCUUUUCUGGCUGGCAUUUGGCUCAAUAAACAGCUUUCAGCCAUGAGAAUUUGUUGUUUAACAAAAUCAAUGUAAUGUUCUGUCCUUUCAUUAAACAUUGAG